CGAAGGAUUCCAGCGCUGCACCGGGGUCCCAUGCGGUUGCGGUUGCGGUCGUGGUUUUGGGCGCAGUCGUUGCGUCUGUGACGCAAGAGGGAGGAAAUGGCAGCGGCUUCCUGCACAACUGUGCUUGCGCACCACUUCCCGGGGGGACGCGGGGGGCCGGACGGCGGGCGAAGCCAGACCUGGGAGACUCGGACCGGAGCGCGAGGAGGAUGGUGCAACAGCACAGUCCGAAGGCGGGAAACGGAACUUUGUCUGGGAAAAAGGGAUUUAAUGCAACUGCACCUCGAGGCGGACAUCCGGGGGCGUGAAGACGCUCAGUGCAGAAGGACGUCCACAGGCAGGGAAAUGACGCAUCUGCGGUUUUCUGGGAGGGAAAUCUGAAGGUUGUUUCGUAAAAGUGACCCACAAACCCUCAAGGCCACGUUUUGAAGGUCUCAUGAUCAAUACUCUCGCUACUAAAAUGUACACCACAAAAAUCAAACCUGUUGAAUUCAAAGUCAUUUCAGCGGUAAGACGUCAUUUUACAUUGUUGAAUUGUUGUUGGGAUUUGUGAAAUAUCGCCCAGCCACAGUAACUUCCUCAGCGUAUAUUUCGCAGUCGAAGCUCCACCUCUCUGACGAAGGCGCGUCGCGGCAGAAGGAUCGGUUAAACACACGCGUGGUUUAACUCAAUGGAGAUGCAUCACCCAUCGAAGCGUCGGAUUGAGACUGUGGAGCCAAAGAGUGUUUUCACCCACAGCACCACCUGCUGUUUGAUGGGUGACUUCUUCAUAAGAAAAGGUACAUUAAUGACUGAAACCUUACAGUUACAUUGGAUCAGUUGGAGACAGCACUGCACAACAAUCACGUCUGAUCCGUGAUUAUUGGACUAAUUCAUUAUUUCCAAGACGUUCCUCUGGAGGUCUUCCCUUCAGCUUCUCCCUCGCAGUGCACAGCUUAAGAGUGCACAUCUGUGAUAUACGAGACACGCACUGAGAGCUGGA